rnacentral:sRNA from 1 species
GCCGGGUAAGGUGGUGCACACCUGUAAUCCCAGCAGCUUGGGAGGUUGAAGCAGGAGGAUCAUGAGUUCAAAGCCAGCCUCAACAAUGGUAAGGCACUAAGCAAUUCAGUGAGACCCUGUUGCUA